rnacentral:rRNA from 1 species
AUAAUCCUGUAGUCGAAAAUGUUGUCUCUCUUGAGUGGAUCCUGAGUACGACGGAGCACGUGAAAUUCCGUCGGAAUCUGGGAGGACCAUCUCCUAAGGCUAAAUACUCUCUAGUGACCGAUAGUGAACCAGUACCGUGAGGGAAAGGUGAAAAGCACCCCGGAAGGGGAGUGAAAUAGAACCUGAAACCGUGUGCUUACAAGUAGUCAGAGCCCGUUAAUGGGUGAUGGCGUGCCUUUUGUAGAAUGAACCGGCGAGUUACGAUUUGAUGCAAGGUUAAGCAGUAAAUGUGGAGCCGUAGCGAAAGCGAGUCUGAAUAGGGCGUUUAGUAUUUGGUCGUAGACCCGAAACCAGGUGAUCUACCCUUGGUCAGGUUGAAGUUCAGGUAACACUGAAUGGAGGACCGAACCGACUUACGUUGAAAAGUGAGCGGAUGAACUGAGGGUAGCGGAGAAAUUCCAAUCGAACCUGGAGAUAGCUGGUUCUCUCCGAAAUAGCUUUAGGGCUAGCCUCAAGUGAUGAUUAUUGGAGGUAGAGCACUGUUUGGACGAGGGGCCCCUCUCGGGUUACCGAAUUCAGACAAACUCCGAAUGCCAAUUAAUUUAACUUGGGAGUCAGAACAUGGGUGAUAAGGUCCGUGUUCGAAAGGGAAACAGCCCAGACCACCAGCUAAGGUCCCAAAAUAUAUGUUAAGUGGAAAAGGAUGUGGCGUUGCCCAGACAACUAGGAUGUUGGCU